rnacentral:rRNA from 1 species
UACGGGGGGAGCAAGCGUUGUUCGGAUUUACUGGGCGUAAAGGGCGCGUAGGCGGCCACCGCAAGUCGACUGUGAAAUCUCCGGGCUUAACCCGGAAAGGUCAGCCGAUACUGCGGGGCUAGAGUGCAGAAGGGGCAACUGGAAUUCUCGGUGUAGCGGUGAAAUGCGCAGAUAUCGGGAAGAACACCAGUGGCGAAGGCGGCUCACUGGCCCGGUACUGACGCUGAUGUGCGAAAGCGUGGGGAGCAAACAGG